GACAGCAGCCCAGCCCCAUUCAGGGACACGUGGCCCUGAUUUGAGCUCCUGUGACAUCACGCUCCCUCCACUUAUCUUACAUGUCACAUCUCAAACAUUUAACAUUUUACAUCUCAAACAUUUCUUGAGGCCCUUACCCUCCCAUUCCCCCAAAUCAAUACGGCACUUAGGGGACACCAAGGCGCAGAGACACUUGCCCCAAAUCAUGCAGUAAUGCCCUGGUGCCACCGUGAACAGUGCUGAAGCUUCCUGACCCCUUGUCCAGGGGACCUGGCUGCCUUUUAUAGAAAGUUUCCACACACCUUCUAUUCCUAACCUCGAUCACAAGCAUCGCCGGCCCAGAUGCUCUGUGUCACCGGCUUAGUAACAUACCCCAUUUAGGAGCAUGAGCACAACUUGUUUGCAGUGGGAAUGAAUUAACUGAAUUCUAGAUAUUGUUUUUUGGCUGCCUUUUUUUGUUUGUUUUUAUUUCAAACACAGCUAACUAAUCAGGGCUGUGGACACCAAGAAUGCCAACUUUGAUUCUUCAAGGAAAAUCAGCAGCUGACCACACACCACCCUUCCUGGUCCUCCCCGAGAUGCCAAGAACAUCCAAAGUCUGCAGUUUUGAGGAAACUGAAGCUGAUCUGACACCACUUCCUUUUUCUCCAGAUGUUACCCUUCGGAUGCAUACCUCAAUCUGCCUGAAAAUCAUGGAAUUCUGGAGAUGGAAGGGACCUCAGAGAUUUUCUGGUUCUCUCUGUUCUGGUUGUGGUAUGAUUUCCAGGCCCCUGCAGCUUCCUGGCCACCCUCCUCUGGCUACACUUAAUGCCUCUUUGAAAACCUGGUACCCAGAACUGAAUGGUGGACUGCGCUCAGCUUCUCCUUCCAGGUCCCGCCCUGAGGCACCCGGCUUAACCCCCAAGUCAAACGCUGCACAGAGCAGGCCUGCUGCCUGCCCACUCUGGCUACCAGGCCAAAGGCCCAGGUCUGGAAGAAUAAAAAGAUGCCACCACCCUACUACCUUGCUGCUGCUCCAUCCCCAGACAGCUGUGGGCAGCUGCAGCUGAGAAGUGAAACUAACAACAGCAUCUGGGGGAGGGGGCGGCACCCAGCUGAGCCCUUUCCAUAGGUUUCCCGUUUCUGGUUGGGGGGGGGGGCGGGGGUGUCUGGCCAAUGGAAACAGGGCAGGCCCUCAGGGAUGCCUCUUAUCAGCAACCCACUGGAAGUCUGUAACCCCCUUCAUGGUACGGUGUGCAGGGCAGGGAUGGGAGGCACAGCUAGAUGUGUGCAGCCCCAGCCUAAGCCAGGCCUGUUGGGCACCACAAUGGGCUCACCCGCCUCGGUCCAUCUGGAAAAGGUUUGAAAGCUUGAGGCAGGAAAGUUCCCUUUUGCAUUUUAAAGUGUGUUGAAACUGAGUAGCCUGGGUGUUGGUCUCAUUCCACAAGUGAGUAAUCCAUUUCCUGAAAGUAAGCUGCUCCCCCUUUGGAAGUGGCCCAGCGAUUUGGGGGUGCUGUUAGAGGUGUCACUAACUCGGUAAAUAUUUAUUGGCACAAGCAAGGAGCUUUUCUAGGAAUAUCAGUUAAUUUGCUAAACUAAUGGCUUUAAGGUAGCACCCUUGAAAAAAAUUAAUUCCUUUCUGAUGGGUGAGCAAUUUAUGCCUGGGACAGGGCACCAGACAGGCAGUGUGUUUCACUUACUAGUUAGAAUAACCACAAAUAAAUUAAAACCAGGCCUGACUUUAAAAUCUCUACCUUCUUCCUUUUCUUGACUCCUGAUUUUCUAUUAAUAUCUGAGCCAGUAAUGGAUUGACUUUGGAAAACUCUUUUCUAUGGCAAUAUUUUGCUGGGAGUUUGAAAUGAUGGGGUUUGAAAACUCCCUUUCCUGUGAGUCUUUUGGCUUCUGGGAUCCCAUACGGAUGAUCUCAUAUAUCUACCCCUCACUAAGACUGUGCCCACCUGGAUCUAUCUGGAGACGUGCCUCCUGUUCUUCUGUGUAGAGCAAUUUAGACUUUCAUCACCUGGCUUGAAAAAGCCUUUUGCCUUGAAGAAUAAAAACUUGGUUUCUUUAUGGCUCAAA